AUGGACAUCGACUCCGAACCGCCCGCCGAGAGCAAGCCCACCCAGAUGGACCUCGAGGACCAGGCGGACGCCGACGGGAAGGGGGAGGACGAGGAGCUCGCGGACUCCAUCGGGAGCCUAUCCAUUGCCCCCGGCCGCACCAGCUUCAAGAAGAAGCCGGUGGUCGUUCUCGUCAUCGGCAUGGCCGGGACGGGGAAGACCACCUUCAUGCACCGUCUGGUGUGCCAUAUGCAGGCAUCGACAAACAUGAGGGGAUACGUGCUCAAUCUUGACCCUGCGGUGAUGACGCUGCCAUUCGGGGCCAACAUUGACAUCCGCGAUACCGUGCGGUACAAGGAGGUGAUGAAAGAGUACGGACUCGGUCCCAAUGGUGGCAUUCUUACCUCACUCAACCUCUUCUCAACCAAGUUUGAUGAGGUUAUAUCUGUUAUUGAAAGCCGAGCAGACCAGCUGGAUUAUGUGCUGGUGGAUACCCCAGGGCAGAUUGAAAUCUUCACUUGGUCGGCUUCAGGAGCUAUCAUAACUGAAGCUUUUGCAUCAACAUUUCCAACGGUUGUUGCAUAUGUGGUUGACACCCCCAGGUCAACAAACCCUGUAACCUUUAUGAGCAACAUGAUGUAUGCGUGCAGUAUCCUCUACAAGACCCGUUUGCCUCUGGUGCUGACAUUUAACAAGGUUGAUGUAGCCAAGCACGAGUAUGCUCUUGAGUGGAUGCAAGACUUUGAAGCAUUUCAGGCAGCUUUGGAUUCCGACUCGUCAUACUCCUCUUCAUUUACCCGGAGUCUCUCCCUUGUGUUGGAUGAAUUCUACAAGAACCUACGCUCUGUUGGAGUAUCAGCGGUAUCUGGCACUGGAGUUGCUGCAUUUUUUGAAGCUAUGGAAGCAAGUGCCAAAGAAUACAUGGAGACUUAUAGGACUGAUCUUGACAAGAGGAUUGCUGAGAAGGAGAGACUAGAGGCUGAGCGCAGGAACGAGAACAUGGAAAGACUGAGAAGAGAUAUGGAGAAGUCCAAAGGACAAACUGUGGUGCUCAGCACUGGUUUGAAGGACAGAAUUCCCUCUUCAGAAAUGAUGGGCGAUGUGGACGAGGAGGAAGAAGAGGAGGCGGUGGAGGAUUUCAGAUUUUGCGAGAUUGAUGACGAUGAUGAAGAAGAUGAAGACGAAGAAGGAGAAGAUGAGGAAGUGGCUCAUUUUGGCCUUUAA
rnacentral:rRNA from 1 species